rnacentral:rRNA from 1 species
GACGAACGCUGGCGGCGUGCUUAACACAUGCAAGUCGAGCGGUAAGGCCCUUUCGGGGGUACACGAGCGGCGAACGGGUGAGUAACACGUGGGUGACCUGCCCUCAGCUCUGGGAUAAGCCUGGGAAACCGGGUCUAAUACCGGAUAUGACUCCAUGACGCAUGUUGUGGGGUGGAAAGCCUUGUGCGGCUGAGGAUGGGCCCGCGGCCUAUCAGCUUGUUGGUGGGGUGANGGCCUACCAAGGCGACGACGGGUAGCCGGCCUGAGAGGGCGACCGGCCACACUGGGACUGAGGCACGGCCCAGACUCCUACGGGAGGCAGCAGUGGGGAAUCUUGCGCAAUGGGCGAAAGCCUGACGCAGCGACGCCGCGUGAGGGAUGACGGCCUCGG